rnacentral:rRNA from 1 species
AGAGUUUGAUCCUGGCUCAGGAUGAACGCUGGCGGCGUGCCUAACACAUGCAAGUCGAACGGAGUUAUGAUGUGAGCGGGAAGUGCUUGCACUAAACAAUCUUUUCAUAACUUAGUGGCGGACGGGUGAGUAACGCGUGGGUAACCUGCCCUGUACUGGGGGACAACAGUUGGAAACGACUGCUAAUACCGCAUAAGCGCACGGGAUCGCAUGAUCGUGUGGUGAAAAAUCCGGGUGGGUACAGGAUGGACCCGCGUCUGAUUAGCUGGUUGGUGAGGUAACGGCCCACCAAGGCAACGAUCAGUAGCCGGCUGAGAGGGUGAACGGCCACAUUGGGACUGAGACACGGCCCAAACUCCUACGGGAGGCAGCAGUGGGGAAUAUUGCACAAUGGGGGAAACCCUGAUGCAGCGACGCCGCGUGAGUGAAGAAGUAUUUCGGUAUGUAAAGCUCUAUCAGCAGGGAAGAAAAUGACGGUACCUGACUAAGAAGCCCCGGCUAACUACGUGCCAGCAGCCGCGGUAAUACGUAGGGGGCAAGCGUUAUCCGGAUUUACUGGGUGUAAAGGGAGCGUAGACGGCAUGGCAAGUCUGAAGUGAAAUGCGGGGGCUCAACCCCUGAACUGCUUUGGAAACUGUCAGGCUGGAGUGCAGGAGAGGUAAGUGGAAUUCCUAGUGUAGCGGUGAAAUGCGUAGAUAUUAGGAGGAACACCAGUGGCGAAGGCGGCUUACUGGACUGUAACUGACGUUGAGGCUCGAAAGCGUGGGGAGCAAACAGGAUUAGAUACCCUGGUAGUCCACGCCGUAAACGAUGAUUACUAGGUGUUGGGGAUUUAUAAAUCCCCGGUGCCGUCGCAAAC